GGCCAGACUCCUACGGGAGGCAGCAGUGGGGGAUAUUGCACAAUGGGGGAAACCCUGAUGCAGCGACGCCGCGUGUGGGGAGACGGUCCCCUGGAUUGUAAACCACUGUCCCCAGGGACGAAGAUGACGGUACCUGGGGAGGAAGCUCCGGCUAACUACGUGCCAGCAGCCGCGGUAAUACGUAGGGAGCGAGCGUUGGCAGGAAUUACUGGGUGUAAAGGGAGCGUAGGCGGGGAUGCAAGUUGGGUGUUAAAUCUGCCGGCUCAACUGGUAGUCGCACUCAAAACUGCAGCUCUUGAGUGAAGUAGAGGCAGGCGGAAUUCCUAGUGUAGCGGUGAAAUGCGUAGAUAUUAGGAGGAACACCAGUGGCGAAGGCGGCCUGCUGGGCUUUUACUGACGCUGAGGCUCGAAAGUGUGGGGAGCAAACAGGAUUAGAUCCCCCGGUA
rnacentral:rRNA from 1 species